GCCCAGACUCCUACGGGAGGCAGCAGUGAGGAAUAUUGGUCAAUGGCCGAGAGGCUGAACCAGCCAAGUCGCGUGGGGGAAGAAUGUCCUAUGGAUUGUAAACCUCUUUUGUCAGGGAGCAAUUGAGUCCACGUGUGGGCUUAGCGAGAGUACCUGAAGAAAAAGCAUCGGCUAACUCCGUGCCAGCAGCCGCGGUAAUACGGAGGAUGCGAGCGUUAUCCGGAUUUAUUGGGUUUAAAGGGUGCGUAGGCGGAAUAUCAAGUCAGCGGUAAAAAUUCGGGGCUCAACCCCGUCGUGCCGUUGAAACUGAUGUUCUUGAGUGGGCGAGAAGUAUGCGGAAUGCGUGGUGUAGCGGUGAAAUGCAUAGAUAUCACGCAGAACUCCGAUUGCGAAGGCAGCAUACCGGCGCCCAACUGACGCUGAAGCACGAAAGCGUGGGUAUCGAACAGGAUUAGAUACCCUCGUA
rnacentral:rRNA from 1 species